rnacentral:rRNA from 1 species
CGCUAAUACCGCAUACGUCCUGAGGGAGAAAGUGGGGGAUCUUCGGACCUCACGCUAUCAGAUGAGCCUAGGUCGGAUUAGCUAGUUGGUGGGGUAAAGGCCUACCAAGGCGACGAUCCGUAACUGGUCUGAGAGGAUGAUCAGUCACACUGGAACUGAGACACGGUCCAGACUCCUACGGGAGGCAGCAGUGGGGAAUAUUGGACAAUGGGCGAAAGCCUGAUCCAGCCAUGCCGCGUGUGUGAAGAAGGUCUUCGGAUUGUAAAGCACUUUAAGUUGGGAGGAAGGGCAGUAAGUUAAUACCUUGCUGUUUUGACGUUACCAACAGAAUAAGCACCGGCUAACUUCGUGCCAGCAGCCGCGGUAAUACGAAGGGUGCGAGCGUUAAUCUGAAUUACUGGGCGUAAAGCGCGCGUAGGUGGUUCAGCGAGUUGGAUGUGAAAUCCCCGGGCUCAACCUGGGAACUGCAUCCAAAACUACUGAGCUAGAGUACGGUAGA